rnacentral:rRNA from 1 species
UACGAAGGGGGCUAGCGUUGCUCGGAAUCACUGGGCGUAAAGGGUGCGUAGGCGGGUCUUUAAGUCAGGGGUGAAAUCCUGGAGCUCAACUCCAGAACUGCCUCCGAUACUGGCGACCUUGAGUCCGGGAGAGGUGAGUGGAACUCCGAGUGUAGAGGUGAAAUUCGUAGAUAUUCGGAAGAACACCAGUGGCGAAGGCGGCUCACUGGCCCGGUACUGACGCUGAGGUGCGAAAGCGUGGGGAGCAAACAGG